UGUCUCAUUUUUGUAAUCAGGACACUGGGAGGCUCCCUUUUCUCCUUAGCCAUGGCUGGAGGCCAAGUCCAGCCCUCAAGGAUCAUUGUCAGGACCAACACGAGCUGGACAGCCUUGUUUUCCUACCUCAGACGUGA
ensembl:scaRNA